GGGUCGAUGCCCGAGCGGUUAAUGGGGACGGACUGUAAAUUCGUUGGCGAUAUGUCUACGCUGGUUCAAAUCCGGCUCGGCCCA
rnacentral:tRNA from 2 species